AUUGAACGCUGGCGGCAGGCUUAACACAUGCAAGUCGAGCGGAGAGAGGUAGCUUGCUACUGAUCUUAGCGGCGGACGGGUGAGUAAUGCUUAGGAAUCUGCCUAUUAGUGGGGGACAACAUUUCGAAAGGAAUGCUAAUACCGCAUACGUCCUACGGGAGAAAGCAGGGGAUCUUCGGACCUUGCGCUAAUAGAUGAGCCUAAGUCGGAUUAGCAAGUUGGUGGGGUAAAGGCCUACCAAGGCGACGAUCUGUAGCGGGUCUGGGAGGAUGAGCCGCCACACUGGGACUGAGACACGGCCCAGACUCCUACGGGAGGCAGCAGUGGGGAAUAUUGGACAAUGGGCGCAAGCCUGAUCCAGCCAUGCCGCGUGUGUGAAGAAGGCCUUAUGGUUGUAAAGCACUUUAAGCAAGGAGGAGGCUACUUUAGUUAAUACCUAGAGAUAGUGGACGUUACUCGCAGAAUAAGCACCGGCUAACUCUGUGCCAGCCGCCGCAGUAA
rnacentral:rRNA from 1 species